rnacentral:rRNA from 1 species
GACGAACGCUGGCGGCGUGCCUAAUACAUGCAAGUCGAACGAGUGGCGGACGGGUGAGUAAUGUCUGGGACACUGCCUGAGGGAGGGGGUUAACUACUGGAAACGGUAGCUAAUACCGCAUACCAUCAGAUGUGCCUAAAUGGGAUUAGCUUGUUGGGGGGGGAACGGCUCACCAAGGCGACGAUCCGUAGCUGGUCUGCGGGGAUGACCAGCCACACUGGAACGGAGACACGGUCCAGACUCCUACGGGAGGCAGCAGUGGGGAAUAUUGGACAAGGGGCGCAAGCCUGAUGCAGCCAUGCCGCGUGUGUGAAGAAGGACUUCGGGUUGUAAAGUACUUUAAGCGGGGAGGCGUUACCAACAGAAGAAGCACCGGCUAACUCCGUGCCAGCCGCCGCGGUAAUUC